rnacentral:rRNA from 1 species
AUACGUAGGGUGCGAGCGUUAAUCGGAAUUACUGGGCGUAAAGCGUGCGCAGGCGGCUUUGCAAGACAGAGGUGAAAUCCCCGGGCUCAACCUGGGAACUGCCUUUGUGACUGCAAGGCUAGAGUACGGCAGAGGGGGAUGGAAUUCCGCGUGUAGCAGUGAAAUGCGUAGAUAUGCGGAGGAACACCAAUGGCGAAGGCAAUCCCCUGGGCCUGUUCUGACGCUCAUGCACGAAAGCGUGGGGAGCAAACAGGAUUAGAAACCCUAGUAGUCC